GAUCAUGGCUCAGGAUGAACGCUAGCUACAGGCUUAACACAUGCAAGUCGAGGGGAAACGACAUCGAAAGCUUGCUUUUGAUGGGCGUCGACCGGCGCACGGGUGAGUAACGCGUAUCCAACCUGCCCAUCACUUGGGGAAUAACCUUGCGAAAGUAAGACUAAUGCCCAAUGACAUCCCACGAAGGCAUCCGAAUGGGAUUAAAGAUUUAUCGGUGAUGGAUGGGGAGUGCGU
rnacentral:rRNA from 1 species